rnacentral:rRNA from 1 species
CCUACGGGUGGCAGCAGUGAGGAAUAUUGGUCAAUGGACGAGAGUCUGAACCAGCCAAGUAGCGUGAAGGAUGAAUGUCCUGUGGGUUGUAAACUUCUUUUAUAAAGGAAUAAAACGAGGCACGUGUGCCUUUUUGCAUGUACUUUAUGAAUAAGCAUCGGCUAACUCCGUGCCAGCAGCCGCGGUAAUACGGAGGAUCCGAGCGUUAUCCGGAUUUAUUGGGUUUAAAGGGAGCGUAGAUGGGUUGUUAAGUCAGGUGUGAAAGUUUGCGGCUCAACCGUAAAAUUGCAAUUGAUACUGGCAGUCUCGAGUACAGGUGAGGUAGGCGGAAUUCGUGGUGUAGCGGUGAAAUGCAUAGAUAUCACGAAGAACCCCGAUUGCGAAGGCAGCUUACUAAAUCGAGACUGACAUUGAUGCUCGAAAGUGUGGGUAUCAAACAGGAUUAGAUACCCCAGUAGUC